CCUACGGGAGGCAGCAGUGGGGAAUCUUGCGCAAUGGGCGAAAGCCUGACGCAGCCAUGCCGCGUGAAUGAUGAAGGUCUUAGGAUUGUAAAAUUCUUUCACCGGGGACGAUAAUGACGGUACCCGGAGAAGAAGCCCCGGCUAACUUCGUGCCAGCAGCCGCGGUAAUACGAAGGGGGCUAGCGUUGCUCGGAAUUACUGGGCGUAAAGGGAGCGUAGGCGGAUAGUUUAGUCAGAGGUGAAAGCCCAGGGCUCAACCUUGGAAUUGCCUUUGAUACUGGCUAUCUUGAGUAUGGGAGAGGUUAGCGGAACUCCGAGUGUAGAGGUGAAAUUCGUAGAUAUUCGGAAGAACACCAGUGGCGAAGGCGGCUAACUGGCCCAUUACUGACGCUGAGGCUCGAAAGCGUGGGGAGCAAACAGGAUUAGAUACCCGGGGUAGUCCACGCCGUAAACGAUGAGUGCUAGUUGUCGGCAUGNAUGCAUGUCGGUGACGCGAGCUACGACAUUAAGUACACUCCGCCGUCGGGGUAGGUACGGUCGGCGAAGAAGUUAAACUAACAAAGGAAGUUAGACGGCGUGAGACGUGCCGACGGACGACGACGAGGGAGGUAGG
rnacentral:rRNA from 1 species